rnacentral:rRNA from 1 species
GACGAACGCUGGCGGCGUGCCUAAUACAUGCAAGUCGAACGCAGUGGGGACGGGUGAGUAACACGUGGGUAACCUCCCAUCAGAGGGGAUAACACUUGGAAACAGGUGCUAAACCGAUACUGAUGGAUGAACCCGCGGUGCAUUAGCUAGUUGGUGGGGUAACGGCUCACCAAGGCCACGAUGCAUAGGCGACCGGAGAGGGGGAUCGGCCACACGGGGACGGAGACGCGGCCCAGACGCCUACGGGAGGCAACAGAAGGGAAUCUUCGGCAAUGGACGAAAGUCUGGCCGAACAACGCCGCGUGAGUGAAGGAGGUUUUCGGAUCGUAAAACUCUGUUGUUAGAGAAGCGGUAUCUAACCAGAAAGCCACGGCUAACUACGUGCCAGCAGCCGCGGUAAUUC